UUACUUACCCGACAGGGAAGAUAACAUAAUCAUGAGGGUGGUUUUCCCAGGAUGAGGCUCGUCCAUUGCACACCAGAUGUGCUGACCACUCUCUCCUUCUGAAAGAGAGGGAGAGCAAAAAUCUGCAGUAUGC
rnacentral:snRNA from 11 species